rfam:Stegodyphus mimosarum contig28876, whole genome shotgun sequence.
GCCUUCGUGGUGUAGUGGUCAGCACGCUCGACGCGUAACCGAGAGGUCCGAGGUUCGAUUCCUGGCGAAGGCG